UUAACUUUUCUCUUGACUGAACUUGACCUUUCACAUGAAUUUACUUUUACUCUGUUUUCACAAGUCUGGUCACAGCUGUUUAUAUGUCUAUCACUUAGGCCUUCUACAAAUCUCCAUAGCCUCAACAUCAAUGAAUUACAAACACAAUAUAACUUAAUUAAUAAUACUACCUACACUAAAUAGUCUUUUAUAUCUGACAAUCUAUAUGGUUUGCAUUUUGUUUUUUUGCUAAAUAUCACUGUUUGUAACUUUUUGCAGAAUGAGAUUUUUAAAAAUUAGAACAGGGUUCAUCAAGUCCUGGGAACCUCAUGGAUUUGCAAGUUCAAAUUCCAAUCUGGGAACUUUUUGAAAAAUCUCACUGUAGUUAUGGUUCUUUUCUGGGUGAAACUGGAACCAACAGGUGGAGUAGUCUAUAUUGGAUUAGAAGUGAUUAUGGCCUGGAUCUGCCUCAAGCAUAGGACAGGAUGUUGUUUAGGUCUCUUUGCUGAGGGCCUUGAUGAGGAUCAAAACAUUGUCCAGACUUGCAUUGCUGUCAUAUGGUGCCUGAGAAACUUCAUAUCCAACUCUAUAAGUGAUUUGUAAAUUUUCAUACAGUUUAAAUAAAAUGAGUAGUUUUGGCAGUCAAACUUUUAACCAGUUA